rnacentral:lncRNA from 1 species
GACAUAGAAAUUUUGAAACUUUAAUUCCUUCUAUCCUGCAAGGUAUGCUUGGAGCACAUAGCCCAUUAAGCUUCAAAGAGACAAAUAGAUGACAACUAGGCACACUCAUGAAUGAAGAAACCACAACCCAAGAAUUUCUUUUGCAGUAACAUUCUCCUAAUGCAUUCUCAAACAACUUCAUCAAAUUAGAUGCAACCACAAUGAAAAGUUUGACAACAUCAUCAAUAAUUAAAAAA